rnacentral:snoRNA from 1 species
UGGGAGGCUGAUACACAACUAGGGCUAGAGCUGCUCUAAUUGUCACAUGGUUCUCCCUAUAGUAAAAAAUUGCUUUCUGAUGACCGGGACAAAUUGAGGGAAAUGGUAAUGGACAGAUACGGAGCACACAAUA